GAUGAAGAACGUAGCGAAAUGCGAUAAGUAAUGCGAAUUGCAGAAUUCAGUGAGUCAUCGAAUCUUUGAACGCACAUUGCGCCCUGUGGUAUUCCGCAGGGCAUGCCUGUUCGAGCGUCAUUUCAACCCUCAAGCUCUGCUUGGUGUUGGGCCCUGCCCGCUGCGGCCGGCCCUAAAGACAGUGGCGGUGCCGCCUGGCCCUGAGCGUAGUACAUCGCUCGCUCCAGUGCCCGGUGGUAGCCUGCCAGAACCCCAACUCUCGUGGUUGACCUCGGAUCAGGUAGGGAUACCCGCUGAACUUAAGCAUAUCAAUAAGCGGAGGA
rnacentral:misc_RNA from 1 species